UUUCCCUAACAAGCUUCCACAGAGUUCUGAUCAAAGGUACCUAGACAUCCCCCUCUGAAGGGAUAAUCCUAAAGCUAUUUUGGAGACGGGCUGAAAUUGAGAGAUGGAUAUAACUCACGUUUACCCUGCAAAUUUAGAUACAAAAUUUAGAUACAAAAGGGACUAACCACGGGGCCUGGAGCUCCAGUCUCAGCCACCCUCAUGUGUGACUUCCAGGCAAUGGGUGGGGCUCACUCAGAAGAAGAUAAGUAACCGGUUUCCUUCUGGCAUUCCUGACUAGAGAACCAAAAACAUUUCUGGAACUGCUGCUUUCAGGGACAAACUUUUCUUAAAGUUAACCUUUUCAGUCUAUUUUGAAGAUUCCAAAGUCUGGGAAACACGUGAUCCGUGCUUUCUUUACAUAAACAGCAAGCCACAAGCCACGCUUUGGUUUUUCAGCAAUCUUUGGACUUCAGCAUGAGUGCGUCUCGGUGGCUGGCUUGUGCUGCGUUUUCUGUCUUCUGUGUCUUAAAAAUCAGCUCUCUGGACACUUUUGUUGCUGCUGUUUACGAGCAUGCGGUGAUCCUGCCUAGUAACACCCUGUUACCGGUGUCUCCCAGUGAGGCACUGGCAUUAAUGAAUCAGAAUCUGGAUCUUCUGGAGGGAGCCAUCAUAUCGGCAGCCAAGCAGGGUGCACACAUUAUUGUGACUCCGGAAGACGGUAUCUAUGGAAUGCGUUUCACCAGGGAUGCUAUCUACCCGUACUUGGAGGAUAUCCCAGACCCUCAAGUGAACUGGAUUCCCUGUGAUAACGCAAACAGAUUUGGCUACACUCCGGUACAGGAAAGACUCAGCUGCUUGGCCAAGAACAAUUCGAUCUAUGUCGUGGCCAACAUGGGAGACAAGAAGCCAUGCAACACUAGUGACCCUCAGUGUCCUCCUGACGGCCGUUUCCAGUACAACACCAACGUGGUGUUCGAUUCCCUGGGCAAACUGGUUGCACGAUACCAUAAGCAAAACCUUUUCAUGGGUGAAGAACAAUUCAAUGCACCCGUGGAGCCUGAGUUUGUGACUUUCAAUACCCCGUUUGGAAAGUUUGGCAUCUUCACAUGCUUUGAUAUACUCUUCCAUGAUCCUGCUAUCACCCUGGUGACAGAGUACCGGGUGGACACUAUACUGUUCCCAACCGCCUGGAUGGAUGUUCUGCCACAUCUGGCAGCCAUUGAAUUCCACUCAGCUUGGGCUAUGGGAAUGGGGGUCAAUUUCCUUGCAGCCAAUAUACACUAUCCCUCAAGGAGAAUGACAGGAAGUGGCAUCUAUGCACCAGAUUCUCCAAGGGCCUUUCACUACGACAGGAAAACCCAGGAGGGAAGACUCCUCCUUUCACAGUUGGAUUCCCACCCACACCACUCUGUGGUGAACUGGACAUCUUACGCCAGCAGUAUAGAAGCACCCUCGACAGGAAACCAGGAAUUUCAGAGCAUUGCUUUCUUUGAUGAGUUUACCUUUGUGGAGCUCAAAGGAAUCACAGGAAAUUACACCGUUUGCCAGAAUGACCUCUGCUGUCAUCUAAGCUACCAGAUGUCUGAGAAGCGAGCUGAUGAAGUUUACGCCCUUGGGGCAUUUGAUGGGUUGCACACCGUGGAAGGGCAGUAUCAUCUGCAGAUUUGUACUCUGCUAAAAUGUAAAACCACCAAUUUACGCACCUGUGGUAGUUCAGUGGACACGGCUUCCACCAGGUUUGAAAUGUUCUCCCUCAGUGGUACCUUUGGAACCCAGUAUGUCUUCCCCGAGGUGUUGCUGAGUGAAGUCAAGCUUGCUCCUGGGGAAUUUCAGGUAUCAAGUGAUGGGCGUUUGUUUAGCCUGAAGCCGACAUCUGGACCCGUGUUGACAGUCACUCUGUUUGGGAGGUUGUACGGGAAGGACGGGACUUCAAAUGCUUCCUCAGACCUCAUAACACACUCGCUGAUGAUAAUAAUGCUGAUUGCAACACCUAUUAUACAUUACUUAUGUUAACAGAACUUUUACCUUCUCUAUCUAUGAAGAAAUGAUCUGUUUGCCAACGGUGGCCUCUGAUAUGGUGGCUAGGAGCUGGAAAUUGGAAAUCAGAAAAAUCCAGAAAAAAAUUCCUUUACUCACCCAUU